rnacentral:lncRNA from 1 species
GCGGCGAUUUCGCGCUGGUCCUCCAUGCGGGGCGCGGCGCUUAGUUAGGGCAGGACGGGAAGGUCGGCGAGGAGGCGGAAGGAACAAGGAGGCGAAGGAUAGAAGGUGAAUAAGAGGAAAAGAGAGAAGGGGCAGAGGCGGCUUCGCCGGGGCAGACCGAAGAGAAAACCCAAGGAAAGAUGCGGUGGUUUAUUCGUCGAAUAAAAAAAGAUAACAACAUUUUUCUCCGAAUUAUUUGUUUCCUGUUUUUAUGAGGGCAAAAUGGGAAUUCUGCGUUGGAAAGAGAUGUGUUGUGUCGGUGAAUCGGAUGCCCUCCCGGCUUGGACGGUGUCGGGGACGAUAUCU